rnacentral:tRNA from 1 species
GGAGACGUAUCGAAGCGGUCAUAACGAGAACGACUGGAAAUCGUUUGGUCGAGACAUCGGCCCGCGAGUUCGAAUCUCGCCGUCUCCG